rnacentral:rRNA from 1 species
CAGCACCUCAAGUGGUCAGGAUGAUUAUUGGGCCUAAAGCAUCCGUAGCCGGCUCUAUAAGUUUUCGGUUAAAUCUGUACGCUCAACGUACAGGCUGCCGGGAAUACUGCAGAGCUAGGGAGUGGGAGAGGUAGACGGUACUCGGUAGGAAGGGGUAAAAUCCUUUGAUCUAUUGAUGACCACCUGUGGCGAAGGCGGUCUACCAGAACACGUCCGACGGUGAGGGAUGAAAGCUGGGGGAGCAAACCGGAUUAGAUACCCGAGUAGUCC